rnacentral:lncRNA from 1 species
CCUCAUCACGCAACGUACAGUCAUGCGAUCAUUAAGCCACUUUACGUCAUUGUCUCUCACAGCACGAGGAGCAUUGGCUGCAGGUUCUUCAGGUGCCUGAUCUGUAAGGAUAUACAAAAUCCUCUCGUGCUCCAAUAUGAUCUUCAACUUUCGAUACCAGCUAUCGAAGUUGGGUCCGGUGAGCUUAUCGUUGUCCAACAGUGAACGGAGGGAUAGUGUGUUGGCCAUAACUAAAAGAAAAAAAUAUUAGCCUAUUAGUAUAUGAAUAUUUUUUUUUUAAUCAUGAAGACAUGGACUUUAGUCCAAAGGUCCUCUCACUAUUUUUUGUGAAUUGGUAGUC